rnacentral:tRNA from 11 species
AGUGGCCGAGUGGUGAAGACACCAGGCUGAUAUCCCGGGGGUGGCAGUGGUCCGAGCCC